GAUGAACGCUAGCGACAGGCCUAACACAUGCAAGUCGAGGGGCAGCACAUGAGUAGCAAUACGAUGGUGGCGACCGGCGCACGGGUGAGUAACACGUAUGCAACCUACCGGUAAAAGGGGGAUAGCCUCUCGAAAGAGAGAUUAAUACCGCAUAAUAUCUCUGGAUGGCAUCAUUUAGAGAUUAAACAUUUAUGGUUUACCGAUGGGCAUGCGUAUGAUUAGCUAGUAGGUGAGGUAACGGCUCACCUAGGCAACGAUCAUUAGGGGUUCUGAGAGGAAGGGCCCCCACACUGGUACUGAGACACGGACCAGACUCCUACGGGAGGCAGCAGUGAGGAAUAUUGGUCAAUGGGCGAGAGCCUGAACCAGCCAAGUCGCGUGAAGGAUGAAGGUUCUAUGGAUUGUAAACUUCUUUUGUAAGGGAAUAAAAAGAGCUACGUGUAGUUUAUUGUAUGUACUUUACGAAUAAGGAUCGGCUAACUCCGUGCCAGCCGCCGCUGUAA
rnacentral:rRNA from 1 species